ACGCUCGACACCUACGGAGGCAGCAGUGGGGAAUAUUGGGCAAUGGGCGCAAGCCUGACCCAGCAACGCCGCGUGAAGGAAGAAGGCUUUCGGGUUGUAAACUUCUUUUGUCAGGGAACAGUAGAAGAGGGUACCUGACGAAUAAGCUCCGGCUAACUACGUGCCAACAGCCGCGGUAAUCUGAGCGGGCUGGCAAGGC
rnacentral:rRNA from 1 species